AUUGAACGCUGGCGGCAUGCCUUACACAUGCAAGUCGAACGGUAACAGGUCUUCGGAUGCUGACGAGUGGCGAACGGGUGAGUGAUACAUCGGAACGUGCCUAGUAGUGGGGGAUAACUACUCGAAAGAGUGGCUAAUACCGCAUGAGAUCUACGGAUGAAAGCAGGGGAUCGCAAGACCUUGUGCUACUAGAGCGGCCGAUGGCAGAUUAGGUAGUUGGUGGGAUAAAAGCUUACCAAGCCGACGAUCUGUAGCUGGUCUGAGAGGACGAUCAGCCACACUGGGAAUGAGACACGGCCCAGACUCCUACGGGAGGCAGCAGUGGGGAAUUUUGGACAAUGGGCGCAAGCCUGAUCCAGCAAUGCCGCGUGCAGGAUGAAGGCCUUCGGGUUGUAAACUGCUUUUGUACGGAACGAAAAGCCCUGGGUUAAUACCCUGGGGUCAUGACGGUACCGUAAGAAUAAGCACCGGCUAACUACGUGCCAGCCGCCGCAGUAAAAC
rnacentral:rRNA from 1 species